ACUCCCUCCGUUCCAAAUGUUUUGCACUACUCAUUGAUCGUUCAUCUUAUUUUAAAAAAAUAUUAAUAUUUUUAUUAUAGAUGAUAAAAUAUAAAUAGUAUUUUAUGUAUGACUAAUUUUUUAAAAAAUUUUACAAAUUUUUUAAAUAAAAUGGAUGGUCAAAUGUUUAACAUGGAUAUUCACGGUUGCACUUAAA
rnacentral:pre_miRNA from 1 species